GCGUGCGGCAGCCUAAACAUGCAAGUCGAGCGGUAGAGAGAAGCUUGCUUCUCUUGAGAGCGGCGGACGGGUGAGUAAUGCCUAGGAAUCUGCCUGGUAGUGGGGGAUAACGUUCGGAAACGGACGCUAAUACCGCAUACGUCCUACGGGAGAAAGCAGGGGACCUUCGGGCCUUGCGCUAUCAGAUGAGCCUAGGUCGGAUUAGCUAGUUGGUGAGGUAAUGGCUCACCAAGGCGACGAUCCGUAACUGGUCUGAGAGGAUGAUCAGUCACACUGGAACUGAGACACGGUCCAGACUCCUACGGGAGGCAGCAGUGGGGAAUAUUGGACAAUGGGCGAAAGCCUGAUCCAGCCAUGCCGCGUGUGUGAAGAAGGUCUUCGGAUUGUAAAGCACUUUAAGUUGGGAGGAAGGGUUGUAGAUUAAUACUCUGCAAUUUUGACGUUACCGACAGAAUAAGCACCGGCUAACUCUGUGCCAGCAGCCGCGGUAAUACAGAGGGUGCAAGCGUUAAUCGGAAUUACUGGGCGUAAAGCGCGCGUAGGUGGUUUGUUAAGUUGGAUGUGAAAUCCCCGGGCUCAACCUGGGAACUGCAUUCAAAACUGACUGACUAGAGUAUGGUAGAGGGUGGUGGAAUUUCCUGUGUAGCGGUGAAAUGCGUAGAUAUAGGAAGGAACACCAGUGGCGAAGGCGACCACCUGGACUAAUACUGACACUGAGGUGCG
rnacentral:rRNA from 1 species